ACAUUAUAAGAAAGAUAAGCUUGUUAUUUCACACAAGCCCUGAAAGAAUUUAAUGUACCAAUUUUCAUAGAACUUUUACUUUCAUGAAACGUGCUUAGUGAUCAUAUAAUGUUGAGGUGUAUCAUGUUCUCUUGCAUCUUGCACUUUUAUGUUCUAAUCUUCCACAUUCGCAUUGAUCUUCCGACCUAGAAAAACAAAUAUCGAAGACCAAACGCAAAUUUGGAAAACUAAAGACUAAUAAGCUAAAAUACAAAUUUAUGUCAAAGUCGAAUACAAGUAUCGAAGAUAUUUACCCUUCGGAUAACUCUCGUUACUCUCAAAUGCCUUAAACAAACACAAACCUUUUACAAAACCAUUGCCGAUGCGCAAAACAUACAAGACAGAACUACGAAAGCAAGCAGAGCACCUCAAAAGCAUCAAACUAGGAAAUCACCACUCUACUAAAUACUAAACUAGAAAACCCGAAAUCGAUACCUACCAUAUCUUAAGUCGCGUAUUUACCUUUGAUGAAUGCGUAAAGUUUCUGGCAUCCUUCGUCAUCUUCAAAGGAAUGGGCUUCCACAAGCCCAUACCUGCACAAAGUCAAAGGUAUCGAUCCACUUGUAAGUAAAUUGGCCUACUGAAUUAUAGCUGAACAAGAUGAAAAUCAACCAACAUGUAAAUGAAAUGCAUGAUAAAAACCUAAAACUGAUUACUCAAGAUAAAAAAAAAAAAAAAUUUCUAAAUCAUAUUUUAUAUGAAGUUGAAAAAAAAAGGAUAAAAGAAAAAUGUAUAGGUCAACCCAACCCGUUUCAACCCAUUGCCGAACCCGCUCAACCCAUUUGUCCUGUUUUCUUUUUAGCUAACUAUACAAAAUCAUCCAUUUGGCCCGUUAGCAAUAAAAGAAAGCACAAAUCAACGAGGUUUCACAUCAAUGGAUUAAAAUUUUGCUAGGAGAGUAUAUUUAUGGUGGGUUCUCAAGAAUGCUGCAGGUAACUAAAUCCGAGUGAUUAGCAACAUGUGCAAGAUUGGCAUUUUGAAAGAAGUGGCCUGGUGGUGAAUGCAAUAUGCAUCAAAUAAAAGAUAUAUCUUUUGUGCGGGUCAAGAUGGGUAGUUUUGGGUUGACCUGGAGUACUUUUUGUCCUGAUUUUUUAACUUCUUUUUUUUCAUAAAUAAUUAGUGGGUUAAAUAUGAUUACAAAAACUACGUUAUUACAAUAAUGAUAUAAUUUUUUGAACAAAAAAGAUUUAGAAGGUUGUAUGCUAUAAAAAACACACUUUGGACAUCACUCAACUGGUUCAACCAAUUUGAUCUGUUUUCGUUUUAGCUAGAAUUUAAAAGAGUAAAAUGCCAUUUUUGUCUCUGAGGUGGAGAGGUUUGUCGAGUGCUGACGUGGCAGUGGUGGAGGACGGUGGCUCCUCCGUUGACAUGGUGGCGUAAUCGACGGAAUUAGGGUAAUAAAAUUGGAAUUUGGGGGAAGAGUGAGUAGUGUGUCGUGU
rnacentral:lncRNA from 1 species